rnacentral:lncRNA from 1 species
UCAACAUCUGCCAGUGGCAAAUUUUUUCAGAUCUGUAUAGAGUUAAUGUCGAAAUCAAAGUUAUUUUGGUUAAUUUUUUUACCUUUAGCUUUGUCACCAUCUGCUAUGGUUGAUGCAGGCUUACUAUUUCAUCAGUUUUUGAGAUUCCUCCAAUCAACUCAGCCU